rnacentral:rRNA from 1 species
GACGAACGCUGGCGGCGUGCUUAACACAUGCAAGUCGAACGGUAAGGCCCCAGCUUGCUGGGGUACACGAGUGGCGAACGGGUGAGUAACACGUGGGUGACCUGCCCUGCACUUCGGGAUAAGCCUGGGAAACUGGGUCUAAUACCGGAUAGGACCGCACCGUGAGGGUGUGGUGGAAAGUUUUUCGGUGUGGGAUGGGCCCGCGGCCUAUCAGCUUGUUGGUGGGGUAAUGGCCUACCAAGGCGGCGACGGGUAGCCGGCCUGAGAGGGUGGACGGCCACAUUGGGACUGAGACACGGCCCAGACUCCUACGGGAGGCAGCAGUGGGGAAUAUUGCACAAUGGGCGGAAGCCUGAUGCAGCGACGCCGCGUGGGGGAUGACGGCCUUCGGGUUGUAAACUCCUUUCACCAUCGACGUAGGUUUUCUGACGGUAGAUGGAGAAGAAGCACCGGCUAACUACGUG